UUUAUAUAUUUAUAUAUUUAUAUUUUUAUAUUUUUUAUAUUUCCGGAUAAAUAUUUAUUUAUUUAUUUAUUUAUUUUUAUUUUUAUUUUUUUUUUUUUUUAUUUCCAAAAAUGAAAUUUAUGAAGUGUUAUUUUAUGCAAUUAUGGGUAUCUACACAUACAUAUACACACACACACAAAAAAAAAAAAAAAAAAAAAAAAAAAAACAUAUAAUUUUCAAAGGAGGGUUAUAUAUCAAAAGAAUUUGAAUAGAUCAUCUAUUUUUUUUUUUUUUUAUGAAGAAUCCUUAAAAUAUAUAUAUUUGUAAUUUCUUACAAUAUAUAUACUAAGUCACAUUUGAGGAAGACCCAAAAAAGAAAAGAAAAAAAACAAAAAAUAAUAAGAAAUGAACGUUAGUGUAUAUAAAGGAAUAAAUACAUACAAAGCUACAUAAUAAUAAUAAUUUACUGUGUAUAUAUAACUUUUGUUUUCUUUCAUUAUAUAUAUAUAUAUUUAUAAAUUUUUUUUUUUUUCCUAAAAUGUAAUUAGUGUUUUGUAUCAAUAUAUUAUAAAAAAAUUUUCUAUGUUUAUAUAUAUAUAUAUAUAUAUAUAUAUAUAUAUAUAUGUAUAUAUAUACAUAUUUGCUCAUUUUUUUUUUUUUUUUUUAUUUUAUAUGCAUCCUUUUAAUAAAUGAAGUUGAUAUAUUAAUUCAUCGCUUACAUUGAAAGUAGUAUAACUUAAAACUUAAAAGAAAAAAAAAAGACCAAAGCAAAAGAAAAAUUAUGAAUAAAACAAUAUUUUCAAUUUAAAAUAAAUAAAAAUAAAUAUAUAUAUUUUAUAUAUUUGUAGUAUAAUUAUAUAAAAUGGACAUUU